UAGUGUAAAAGAGCGUUUACCUUUUGCGAUUGGUGCAUGUUCAACAACAUUCACAGUUGAUGGAGAUACAUCAUGGACUCCGGUCUUUACGUUUGUGACUGCAGAUUUCACGUGGGAAGUGGCUCCUGUUCCCACUGUGCUCUGAAAAUUUUUAGAUUAAACGUGCAUUAUCAAAACAAAGUAAUUGUUGGGACGAACAGAUUAUAGAGAAUAUCGAUAUACCUUAACAUUACUUUCCGGAGUUCCAUAAGAAGUUGCAGGCGGUAUAGCAGUCGCUGUCUACAAAAUUAUAAUAAUUGGACGAUACGAUAUUUUCUAAAAGUUAAAAAUUGUAUACAUAUGUUAUAUAUAUAUGUAUGUAUGUACCUUGACUCCUUCAACAGGCACCGAAACCGUGGUGGUUGAUACCGUUUUCUCUGGUACCAGGGAACACCUGGUUGAUAUCCAGGAGGUCCAUAGACGGUCUGUGGUAUCUCGGCGUAAGAGUUACCAAGGGAUUUUGCGUCUUCCACUAUGUUCUCGUGAUGAUGAUGAUGGUCGGUUCCAUAACGUGGAUCACCAGAUCUCUAUGAAUGGUGUUUUAAGGGGAUAAUAAAAGAGGAUCCUUACCAGAGCGAUGAGCAGGAGCCUCAUGUUAGCCGUAUGAUGUUUGAAUGAGGAGUCGAGUAUCAUCCCAAAGAUAUUUCGACCUUUUAUACUCGGCCGAUGCUCCCUCCAGUUUAUUUCGCAAUCCGAUGGCAUUGGAAGAACUAGAUUUUUUAAUUGACUUCUCUUGAAGGCCUGCGUCAGGGAGAUGAUCAGUGGACAAAAUGUUACUUGAAUAAAUCCUCUACUGUGUUGGUGACACGAAACACGGAUCAAAGAAACAGAACUUCCAACUUUGUUUCAGUGUUGGUGUUCUUCUUCUCCCCCUUCUUUUCGCGCCCACAGUCUUUACUCUCAAUAUUUAAGCGAACGGAGGAUGAUUUAUGCAAAUCUCUAUACAUUUCCUUUCUCAACUUUGGUCUCUCCUUUUACUUUUUCAAUCUUUUUCUCUUUCUUUCUUAUCGACAUUCCGUGAACGCGUAUACACCCAUUAUCAAGCUUCGUUAAAAGAAGAGGAAGCUUUUAAAAUAGUCGGAUAACGAACGUCAAACUUUUGUAAGAUUUAAUGGAUCGUUGUCAACGAACUUUAAAUAAUUCGUAUAAUCUCUCUGAUCGAACGUUAAGUUCGCGACAACUUCGUAUUUUAAUAUACAUAUCUGACAGGUAUCUUACAUCACAAUGUUUUAUAACUUUCCAAAUGCAGAAGACGCAUUAUGAUGAUCCUUAUAAUUCUUUUUCUUCCAGAGAACAGAAAAGCUUUUAUGCAGAAUUUUACGAUUCUGACGACAGAGCAAAUUUCGUACCAUUAUUACACAAGCUGAUCUUAUAGACGACUAACUGUGUUGUAAAGAGUUUUAAUUUUUAUGUUCAAAAAAAUUUGAUUGUGUGUGUAGUGUUCCUGAAGCUAAUAGAAAUAACUGUGCAGUUAAUUUGCAUUCAAUUAUUUAUUUUAAUUAGUGCAAAUUUCUUAACUUUGAAAGGACAUGCUCAUAGAAAUUUCUUUGUAAAUAAGACACAUCUCUCUUGAUUAUUUUCUCCAUCACACUAUUUUUCAUUUACACGUUUGUUUAAUCAUAAUAAUUGUCGUUCCACUUAACUAUUUGAAUAAUCUUAUUAUAAUAUUUCUUGUUAAUUUUGCUAAUUACGUAUGAUUUGUAUCGUUCUACAUUAACCUACAUUGUAAUUUUUAAUUCUUUCAUUAUAUUUUUGUGCUUUAGCUAAGAGAUUUGCUUCUUUUCUGGCAAGUGAAAACAUGGAUAUAUAUUUAUGGCUCAAAUAGCUAAUGGAUGGAUUUGUAACCUUGGGAAGCGAGAAUUCCACUGUCCACACCUAUAAUAUCUUGGCCAUACCUGAAAUAGGCCUGUUUCUAUGUGAUGAAUGGACUUAUCCACAGGAUAACAAAAACACUGGUAUUGCAUUAAUUGCAUAACGAACAAAUCGUGGGACGCGCAUAUUAUGAAAUCCUGAUCUGUUAGAAAUUUAAUUGUAUAACAGUGUUUGUAUAAAUUUUAGUCGACAAUUAGUCUUACUUAUUUUCUACAGUUAUAAUUUCUUAAAUUUUUUUUAGGGAAUGCCAACAACAUUCGGCUACUUUUUACACAGACAAUAAAAAGCAGUAUAAUCAAUUUUUUGUGAGUUGUUGGGUUAUUCUUUCAGCUUUUUUUAAAGACGAGUUUCUCGUGUAAAUAUCGUUUACAUAUUGUUAAGUUUGAAUUUCGCGCGUCAAGUCUCUGAAAGCUUUGAAUGCAUAAAUAUUGUAGCAAUAGAAAUUGAGUUUCUGGCCUAAUAACAUGGUGGCUCUAUCUGUUGUUAGAACUUGAAAGUAUCGUCUGAGAACCAAGAAUGUUGCCUGUUAAAGAUGAUUUUGGAGGUAAUUGCACAGUGAAUUACGGUGAAAGUGAAGGCAUAUACGAUAUAUUACCGGCAAACUCGCCAUCACAUGCAAAUACACGAACUUA